CCCAUUAUCACUUGCUUUCAACGGCAGUAUUUCAUAAGACUGCAUGUUUAGGGAGGAAUGCACUGUUGCUUGGUAUAUCCAGUUUGGUUAAAGGAGGAAUGCAUUAAAAAUGCACCGCCACCGGUUUGUGUCAUGUGACUCAAAACAGAACUAAUAAAAAUGUGAAAUUUGAGGAAAGCAGUUAUUUCCAUUUAUCGAGGGACUUACAACUUCACCUGUGUGUGAACAAAAUGGAUUGGGUGGUCUAUUUGACAGCUACCAAGAUGAGUAGAAAAACACUGACAAUUGCAUUGUUAAGUUUAGUGUUUUGUAGCGCAUCAGCUGAGUCAGCAAACUCACCUACAACUGAAUCUAUGACUGUCACAUCAUACUCACCUGCACAAACGACACAAUUCUGCUUACAACUGACACAACAGCAUAUACAAUACUGUUCAACAACAACUGAAACUCUGUUUACAACCACUGCCAAACCAACACAAACACCUGAAUCAACAAACUCACCUAUAACUGCAACAACUGAAUCUACGACUGUUAGAACAAACACAGCUACAACUAAAACUCGGCUUACAACUACAAGCCUUCCUACAGAAAAAACAACACAACUCACAACUGAGCAAUCAACUACAUCUGAACAAAGCACCACAAUGCAGUCAGCAAAUUCAUCCCUACCUACAACAAGUACAGCUCAAUCUACAACUGAGGUUACAACAAACUCACCCACAACUACAACUCUGCUUACAACUACAGCUCCUCCUACAGAAACAACAACAACACAACUUACAUCUACGGCUGAACCAAAAACCACAACUGCUGCAACAUCUACAACUGAACCAAAAACCACAACUGCUUCAACACCUACAACUGAACAAUCAACUACAUCUGAACAAAGCACCCCAAAGCAGACAACAACAUCAUCCCUACCUACAACACGUACAGCUCAAUCUACAACCCUGGUUACAACAAACUCACCUACAACUACAACUCUUCUUACAACUAAAACCCCUCCUACAGAAACAACAAGACUUACAUCUACUGCUGAACCAACAACCACAACUGCUUCAUCGUCUACAACUGAACUAACAACCAUAACUGCUUCAACACCUUCAACUGAACAAUCAACUACAUCUGAACAAAGCACCCCAAUGCAGACAACAACAUCAUUCCUACCUACAACAAGUACAGCUCAAUCUACAACCCUGGUUACAACAAACUCACCUACAACUACAUCUCGGGUUACAAUUACAGCCCCUCCUACAGAAACAACAACAAAACUUACAUCUACAGCUGAACCAACAACCACAACUGUUUUAACAUCUAUGACAGAACAAUCAACUACAUCUGAACACAGCACCACAACGCAGACGGCAACAACUUCCCUACCUACAACAAGUACAGCUCAAUCUACAACCCUGGUUACAACAAACUCACCUACAACUACAUCUCGGGUUACAAUUACAGCCCCUCCUACAGAAACAACAACAAAACUUACAUCUACAGCUGAACCAACAACCACAACUGUUUUAACAUCUAUGACAGAACAAUCAACUACAUCUGAACACAGCACCACAACGCAGACGGCAACAACUUCCCUACCUACAACAAGUACAGCUCAAUCUACAACCCUGGUUACAACAAACUCACCUACAACUACAUCUCGGGUUACAAUUACAGCCUCUCCUACAGAAACAACAACAAAACUUACAUCUACAGCUGAACCAACAACCAAAACUCUUUUAACAUCUACAACUGAACCAACAACCACAACUGCUUCAUCAUCUACAACUGAAUCAACAACCACAACUGUUUUAACAUCUACAACAGAACAAUCAACUAUAUCUGAACAAAGCACCACAAUACAGAUGGCAACAACAUCACUACUUUCAAGAAGUACAGCUCAAUCUACAACUGAGGUUACAACAAACUCACCUACAACUGCAACUCUGCUUACAACUACAACACCUCCUACAGAAAGAACAAGAAUUACAUCUACUGCUGAACCAGCAACCACAGCUGCUUCAUCGUUUACAACUGAACUAACAACCAUAACUGCUUCAACACCUACAACUGAACAAUCAACUACAUCUGAACAAAGCACCCCAAUGCAGACAACAACAUCAUCCCUACCUACAACAAGUACAGCUCAAUCUACAACCCUGGUUACAACAAACUCACCUACAACUACAUCUCGGAUUACAAUUACAGCCCCUCCUACAGAAACAACAACAAGACAACUUACAUCUACGGCUGAACCAAUAAUUACAACUGUUUUAACAUCUACAACAGAACAAUCAACUACAUCAGGACAAAGCACCACAACACAGACGGCAACAACAUCCCUACCUACAACAAGUACAGCUCAAUCUACAACUGAGGUUACAACAAACUCACCUACAACUGCAACUCUGCUUACAACUCCAGGCCCUCCAACAGAAACAACAACAACACAACUUACAUCUACAACUGAACUAACAACCACAACUGCUUCAACAUCUACAACUGAACAAUCAACUACAUCUGAACAAAGCACCACAACGCAGACGGCAACAACAUCCCUACCUACAACAAGUACAGCUCAAUCUACAACUGAGGUUACAACAAACUCACCUACAACUACAACCCCUCCUACAGAAACAACAAGACUUACAUCUACUGCUGAACCAACAACCACAACUGCUUCAUCAUCUACAACUGAACUAACAACCAUAACUGCUUCAACACCUACAACUGAACAAUCAACUACAUCUGAACAAAGCAGCCCAAUGCAGACAACAACAUCAUCCUUACCUAUAACAAGUACAGCUCAAUCUACAACCCUGGUUACAACAAACUCACCUAUAACUACAUCACAGGUUACAAUUACAGCCCCUCCUACAGAAACAACAACAAAACUUACAUCUACAGCUGAACCAAAAACCACAACUGAUUCAUCAUCUACAGCUGAACCAACAACCACAACUAUUUUAACAUCUACAACAGAACAAUCAACUAAAUCAGGACAAAGCACCACAACACAGACGGCAACAACAUCCCUACCUACAACAAGUACAGCUCAAUCUACAACUGAGGUUACAACAAACGCACCUACAACUGCAACUCUGCGUACAACUCCAGGCCCGCCGACAGAAACAACAACAACACAACUUACAUCUACGGCUGAACCAAUAAGCACAACUGUUUUAACAUCUACGACAGAACAAUCAACUACAUCUGAACACAGCACCACAACGCAGACGGCAACAACAUCCCUACCUACAACACGUACAGCUCAAUCUACAACUGAGGUAACAACAAACUCACCUACAACUGCAACUCUGAUUACAACUCCAGGCCCUCCUACAGAAACAACAACAAAACUUACAUCUACAGCUGAACCAAAAACCACAACUGAUUCAUCAUCUACAGCUGAACCAACAACCACAACUGAUUCACCAUCUACAGCUGAACCAACAACCACAACUGAUUCAUCAUCUACAACAGAACAAUCAACUACAUCUGAACACAGCACCACAACGCAGACAGCAACAACAUCCCUAUCUACAACAAGUACAGCUCAAUCUACAACUGAGGUUACAACAAACUCACCUACAACUGCAACUCUGCUUACAACUCCAGGCCCUCCUACAGAAACAACAACAACACAACUUACAUCUACAACUGAACCAACAACCACAACUGCUUCAUCAUCUACAGCUGAACCAACAACCACAACUGAUUCAACAUCUACAACAGAACAAUCAACUACAUCAGAACAAAGCACCACAACACAGAUGGCAACAAUAUCCCUACUUACAACAAGUACAGCUCAAUCUACAAGUGAGGUUACAACAAACUCACCUACAACUGCAACUCUGCUUACAACUCCAGGCCCUCCUACAGAAACAACAACAACACAACUUACAUCUACAACUGAACUAACAACCACAACUGCUUCAUCAUCUACACCUGAACCAACAACCACAACUGUUUUAACAUCUACGACAGAACAAUCAACUACAUCUGAACACAGCACCACAACGCAGACGGCAACAACAUCCCUAUCUACAACAAGUACAGCCCCAUCUACAACUGAGGUUACAACAAACUCACCUACAACUGCAACUCUGCUUACAACUCCAGGCCCUCCUACAGAAACAACAACAACACAACUUACAUCUACAACUGAACUAACAACCACAACUGCUUCAACAUCUACAACUGAACAAUCAGCUACAUCUGAACAAAGCACCCCAAUGCAGACAACAACAUCAUCCCUACCUACAACAAGUACAGCUCAAUCUACAACCCUGGUUACAAAAAACUCGCCUACAACUACAUCGCAGGUUACAACUUCAGCCCCUCCUACAGAAACAACAACACAACUUACAUCUUCUGCUGAACCAACAACCACAACUGUUUUAUCAUCUACAAAUGAACCAACAACCACAACUGAUUCAUCAUAUACAACUGUACUAACAACCACAACUGCUUCAACAUCUACAACUGAACAAUCAACUACAUCUGAACACAGCACCACAACGCAGGCGGCAACAACAUCCCUAUCUACAACAAGUACAGCUCAAUCUACAACUGAGAUUACAACAAACUCACCUACAACUGCAACUCUUCUUUCAACUCCAGGCCCUCCAACAGAGACAACGCAACUUACAUCUACUUCUGAACCAACAACCACAACUGCUUCAACAUCUAAAACUGAACAGUCAACUACAUCUGAACAAAGCACAACAACAGAGACAGCAACAACAUCACCACCACCUACCACAAGUUCAGCACAAUCGACAACUGAGGUUACAACAAACUCACCUACAACUGCAACUCUUCUUACAACUCCAGGCCCUCCAGCAGAGACAAUGCAACUUACAUCUACUGCUGAACCAACAACCACAACUGCUUCAUCAUCUACAAAUGAACUAAUAACCACAACUGCUUCAUCAUCUACAACUGAACAAUCAACUACAUCUGAAAAAAGCACCACAAUGCAGACAGUAAAAACAUCCCUACCUACAAGUACAGCUCAAUCUACAACUGAGGUAACAACAAACUCACCUACAACUGCAUCUCUGCUUACAACUACAGCCCCUCCUAUAGAAACAACAACAACACAAUUUACAUCUGCGGUUGAACCAACAACCACAACUGUUUUAACAUCUACAACUCAACCAACAACCACAACUCCGUCAACGUCUACAACUGAACAAUCAACUACAUCUGAACAAAGCACCACAAUGCAGACAGCAACAACUACUCUACCUACAACAAAUACAGCUCAAUCUACAACCCUGGUUACAACAAACUCAGCUAUACCUACAUCUCAGGUUACAACUACAGCCCCUUCAACAGAAACAACAGAAACACAACUUACAUCUACGGCUGAACCAACAACCACAACUUUUUUAACAUCUACAACUGAACCAAUAACCACAACUGUUUUAAUAUCUACAACAGAACAAUCAACUACAUCAGAACAAAGCACCACAACACAGAUAGGAACAAAAUCCCAACCUACAACAAGUAUAGCUCAAUCUACAACUGAGGUUUCAACAAACUCACCAAGAACUACAUUUCAAGUUACAACUACAGGCCCUCCUAAAGAAACAACAACAACAAAACUUACAUCUAUUGCUGAACCAACAACCACAAUUGCUGCAACAUCUACAACUGAACAAUCAACAACAUCUGAACACAGCACCACAAUGCAGACAGCAACAACAUCCAUACCUACAACAAGUACAGCUCAAUCUACAACUGAGGUUUCAACAAACUCACCUAGAACUGCAACUCUACUUACAACUACAGCCCCUCCUACAGAAACAACAAUAACACAACUUAUAUCUACAGCUGAACCAACAACCACAACUUCUUUAUCAUCUACAAUUAAACAAUCAACUACACCUGAACAAAGCACCGCAACACAGGCAUCAACACCAUCCUUACCUUCAACAAAUACAGCACAAUCUACAAACCUGGUUACAACAAACUCACCUACAACUACAUCUCGGGUUACGACUACAGCCCCUCCUACAGAAACAACAACAAGAAAACUUACAUCUACGGAUGGAUCAACAACCACAACUGCUUCAUCAUCUACAACUGAAGAAUCAACUACAUCUGAACAAAGUGCCCCAACACAGACAUCAACAUCUUCCUUACCUACAUCUCGGUUUACAACUACAGCCCCUCCUACAGAAACUACAACAGGAAAACUUACAUCUACAGCUGAACCAAAAACCACAACUUCUUCUUCAUCUACAACUGAACAAUCAACUACAUCUGAACAAAGCACCCUAACACAGACAUCAACAUCACCCUUACCUUCAACAAAUACAGCUCAGACUACAACCCUGGUUACAACAAACUCACCUACAACUACAUCUCGGGUUACGACUACACCCCCUCCUACAGAAACAACAUCAAGAAAACUUACAUCUACGGCUGAACCAACAACCACAGCUACUUCAACAUCAACAACAGAACAAUCAACUACAUCUCAACACAGCACCACAAUGAAGACAGCAACAACAUCCCUACCUAUCACAAGUACAGCUCAAUCUACAUCUGAGGUUUCAACAAACUCACCUACAACUGCAACUCUGCUUACAACUAGAGCCCCUCCUACAGAAACAACACAACUUACAUCUACGGGUAAACCAACAACCACAACUGUUUUAAAAUCUACAACUGAACCAACAACAACAACUGUUUUAAGAUCUACAACUGAACCAACAACUACAACUGUUUUAACAUCUACAACUGAACAAUCAACAACACCUGAACAAAGCACCACAAUGCAGACAACAACAACAUCCUUACCUACAAAAAAUACACCUCAAUCUACAACCGUGGUUACAGCAAACUCACUUACAAGUACAUCUCAGUUUACAACCACAGCCCCUCCUACAGAAACAACAACACAACUUACAUCUAUGGCUGAACCAACAACGACAACUGUUUUAACAUCUACAACAGAACAAUCAACUACAUCUGAACAAAGCACCACAAUGCAGUCAACAACAACAUCCCUACCUACAACAAGUACAGCUCAAUCCACAACUGAGGUUACAACAAACUCACCUACAACUGCAACUCUGUUUACAACUACAGCCCCUCCUACAGAAACAACAACCACACAACUUACAUCUACAGCUGAACCAACAACCACAACUGUUUUAACAUCUACAACAAAACAAUCAAUUACAUCCCAACACAGCACCACAACACAGACAGCAACAACAUACCUACCUACAACAAGUACAGCUCAAUCUACAACCCUGGUUACAACAAACAUGACUGUUACAUCAAGCUCAGCUACACAAACGACACAAUUCUGCUUAAAAGUGACACAACAGCUGAUACAAUACUGCUCAGCAACAACUGAAACUCUGUCUACAACCACUGCCAAACCUACACAAAAACCUGACUCAACAAACUCACCUGCAUCUGCAACAACAGAAUCUAUGACUGUUACAGUAAACUCAGUCCCUUCCACAGAAACAACAACAACAACAACACAACUUACAUCUACGGCUGAACCAACAACUACAACCAGAGCUCAAUCAACAACAACCCCAGGCACAACCCAGACAGUUUUUGUUAGUUUUUCCAGCAGUGAAAUUUUUGUCUCUGAUCUGUCAAAUCCAGCUUCAGAAGCAUAUAAAAACAGAGAAAAGAAUGUCAACGAUACGUUGACACCAUUCUUUAGAAAUGCAUUGCCCUCCUUCAAAGGACUGGCAGUUAUUCAGUUCCGUAAUGGGUCAAUCAUCACUGAUAUGAAUGUGACAUUUGGAACCUUACCCAGUGAUGUUGAGAUAGAAAACACUAUUAUGAAAGCUAAUGCCACUCUCAGUAUCACCAGUGUAACAAUAUGGAAGCCCUUCACCACAACUACCAAAGCCACUACAACCAGUUCCACUACAAUUACAACUACAACCACACCUAACACAACAACAGCAGCAGCAACAACAACAACCACAACAUCUACUGUCAAUCCUAUUACAACAGCAACAACAACAACAACCACAACAUCUACUGCCAAUCCUAAUACAACAGCAACCACAGCAUCUACUGUCAAUCCUAAUAAAACAGCAACCACAACAUCUACUAUCAAUCCUAAUACAACAGCAUCACCAGCAACCACAACAUCUACUGCCAAUCCUAACACAACAGCAUCAACAGCAACCACAACAUCUACUGCCAAGCCUAAUACAACAGCAUCAACAGCAACCACAACAUCUACUGCCAAUCCUAAUACAACAGCAACAACAACAACAACAGCAACCACAACAUCUACUGUCAAUCCUAAUACAACAGCACCAACAGCAACCACAACAACAACCACAACAUCUACUGCCAAACCUAAUACAACUGUAACAACAACACCCACAACCACAACAACAACAACAACAACAACAAAAACAACAACAACAACAACAACAUCUACUGCCAAUCCUAAAACAACAGCAACAACAACCACAAUAACAACAGCAGCAACCACAACAGCAGCACCAGCACGUCCUCAGCCAACUGUUGCCAUACAGAUUGUCAUUAUAGAGGUGUUUGUUCCAGCACUGAAAGACCCUCAAACUCCGGAAUUUAAAAGCCUAGCCACAAAAGUAAUAUAUAGUAAAAUUCUAAAGCAAAACUCUGAAUUCAGUUUUUACUUGCCUGAAAGUUUUGGGAAGGAACUUUUUUCAAAAUGUUAA
ensembl:lncRNA